rnacentral:ribozyme from 13 species
GCGCAAAAAAAAAAAAAAAAAAAAAAAAAAAAAAAAAAAAAAAAAA